GACGAACGCUGGCGGCGUGCUUAACACAUGCAAGUGGAGCGACGAACCGGUCUUCGGACCGGGGGCAGAGCCGCGAACGGGUGAGUAACACGUGGGUAACCCACCCGAUGACCGGGACAACCCGAGGAAACUCGGGCUAAUACCGGAUGAGCUCUCAUCUUUUGAGAGAUGUGAGGAAAGAUAGCUUCGGCCUUCGCAUCGGGACGGGCCCGCCGGCCCACUUAGCUUGUUGGUGGGGUAACGGCCUACCAAGGCGACGAUGGGUAGCUGGUCUGAGAGGACGAUCAGCCACACUGGGACUGAGACACGGCCCA
rnacentral:rRNA from 1 species